rnacentral:lncRNA from 1 species
CCUGUGGAAUAUGCCAGGAUGCCCAGCACAACCACAGGACAAGAAGUCCCUGUCUGCCUCCUGCUUCCCCUGAUGUUGGAGAGGAGAGGAGCUGUGCUGGGACUCCAGACACUGCAGUGUGACAGCUAAACCAAGGAGCAUCGGAUGCGAUGGAAUUGCUCUACAAGCAACCUUGCCAAAGGCCCUUUCGCUGCACAAAGCUGGCUCUAUCUUUGUAUAUUGAGGGAGCUAAAUCAAUGUUAAAUGCUUGGCUCUUUUCACAGGACAAUGACCAGGACCUAAGCUGCGUCCUUCCUUUUUGAUUGACACUUGAAACGUUGAGAUGGAAUCAGCCAGAGGCACUGCUACAAGCUUGAAGCCUCUGCUGGGGAUAACAACUGGUGACAUCUGCAGAAAGGCCGACAAAAGGCAGUUGAAAGCCGUGUUUGUUGCUUUCCCCUCUCAGAUCUCCUCUCUUUCAUGGAGAUCCUUACUUGCUUUAAUAUUAUGAUUCAGCACCUGGCUCUUUUGAACCUUGCUUUAAACUUCAAAAGGCGAGGUGGUAUUAACAAACAUGAAACGAAAAAGUGGCAGUAGUUUGAUUUACUGUUGUCGUCUUAUCAAGGGGGUUUUUUGUCACCAGCUGCCACUUUCUGUCAUCUUUGGAACCAUUAUCAUUUCUCUAAAAUCUAAAAGACUCCACUUAAUAACAGCUUUGAAUACAGGCAGGAUCAGUAACGUAUACAGUUCUGGGAUGACAGGGCCGUCAAAUGAAAAGAAAGAUGUUGCCAAAAAAAAAAAAUCCUUAAAAAAACAAUAAAACAAAUAAAAGCUCUAGUACUUCUAAGUGACCUUGAUUUUGGAAUUAAACAAAUCAAGCACAAUCCCAUUGUUCUUUUUGGAUCCAUUCUGCACUUUCCAUGCAAUGUUUCUUUUUUGUUCUCAGCACUAAGGGAAAACAAAGCCAAGGCUUCCAGAAAACUGCUCGGCACACAACGAACACUUGCUAUCACAUGAGCACCAUAAGCUCCUCACUUGUAAGACCGCCAGUGAUAAUUACUGGUCUCGUUUCACCACCACCCCAGCACAGCAUCUCUCAUUCAGGCCGAAUCUUAAAAGCUGCCUUGCUAGUCAAAAAUCUGUUUAACUCUCACUUCUGUCAUGCUUCUCCAUGCCUUUCUGCAGUCUUUCCCAACAGAGCUGUGCCCACCUUUGGCCACCAGGGCAGAACCGCGGAACUGAAAAUGCCUCUGUACCUGAUCAGCCAGGUUUGCCCAUUGCAGCUGCCCCCAUCCAGUCACAAGCAAAAGCACACAAAAGAAGAAGCAUUGCAAUUUUGUCCUCAGAGACACCUGGGUAAUCCAUGGAGACUGGGAGAUGCAGAAGACCAGGAACAGUUUUAG